rnacentral:rRNA from 1 species
AUUGAACGCUGGCGGCAGGCCUAACACAUGCAAGUCGAACGAGCGGCGGACGGGUGAGUAAUGUCUGUGAAACUGCCUGAUGGAGGGGGAUAACUCCUGGAAACGGUAGCUAAUCCCGCCUACCCUCAGAUGUUCCCAGAUGGGCUUAGCUAGUUGGGGGGGUAAUGGCUCCCCUAGGCGACGAUCCCUAGCUGGUCUGAGAGGAUGACAAGCCAAACGGGAACUGAGACACGGUCCAGACUCCUACGGGAGGCAGCAGUGGGGAAUAGUGCAAUAUGGGAGCAAGCCUGAUGCAGCCAUGCCGCGUGUAUGAAGAAGGCCUUCGGGUUGUAAAGUACUUUCAGCGAGGAGGCGUUACGCGCAGAAGAAGCACCGGCUAACUCCGUGCCAGCAGCCGCGGUAAUUC